AUGCACUGUUGCCGUGUUGGUGGUCACUGCGGUGUCGAGAAGACCCACAAUGCAGUGAUCAGCCGAUACUACUGGCCUGGCAUGGAGGCGGACAUUGGCAAAUGGGUUGCCCAGUGUCCAGAGUGCCAGAGGAAGCAGGCCAGUCUCAAGGAAAAGGCUGAGUACCACCCAAUAGUGGUGAGGUUAUUUGUGCAACUGAAUGUCCUAUGCAGCGAAAUGUGCUUACAUACUAGCUACUUUCUAUACUAAUGUGUAAUUAAUUGAUCAAUAAACCGUUUCAGGUAUCCGAGCCUUUUGAGCUGGUGGGAAUGGACCUUAUGAGGCUCAGUGCAACAGAGAGUGGUAAUCAAUACAUUUGUGUGACGGUUAAUUAUUUCACCAAGUGGGCAGAGGCCUACGCUCUGAAGACUAAAUCUGCAGAAGAGGUGACCAAUUGUAUUCUCGAUUUUGUAUACAAAUUUGGUGCACCUCAAAGACUGCUUACAGACCAGGGAACUGAAUUUAAGAGCCAGGUAAAACCCUCAAGACCAAUAUUUCCUAUUUCUUAAGAAUCAACACUGUAAUGCUAACUUGUUUUCUGAUUAAUGGAAUAAGGUGAAUGCUCGACUUUGUCAAGCCCUGGGGAUUAAACGAAGUUUCUCGUCACCAUACCACCCUCAGACAAAUGGGCUAGUGGAGAAGCUUAAUGGCACCAUACAGAGGUAAGUCGCAUAUUGUUGAAUUGGCAGAUAUCAUGCAAAAUAUAAAUUCAGGCUAAAUUACGUUAUGUCCAAAUUACAUUUUCAGGUCUCUCAGAAAACUGGCGGAGGACAACCCUAAACAAUGGGAUAAGUUCCUCCAGCCAGCAAUGUCCCGCUGCGGACCAAAAAGCAGCUGACAACGCAGUUCAGCCCGUAUUUUUUUAUUGUUCGGCAGAGAGGCCAAAUACCCAUCUUGAGGUGCCACAGAAGUACGAGGUAGGUGGCGGUAUUUGUAUAUGUGUCUAGGGAUUGUGGUCAUUUUGACUUGACUAAAUAGGUGAGAUUAUAACAUCAUUUGGUUUGUUGCACUUUAGGUGA
rnacentral:lncRNA from 1 species